GGCUCAAUGGUCUAGAGGUAUGAUUCUCGCUUUGGGUUGCGUCGAGCACGUCGACUUGCCUGCGAGAGGCCCCGGGUUCGAUCCCCGGUUGAGCCC
rnacentral:tRNA from 1 species